UACAGAGGGGGCAAGCGUUGUUCGGAAUUACUGGGCGUAAAGGGCGCGUAGGCGGCCGCCUAAGUCAGACGUGAAAUCCCUCGGCUCAACCGGGGAACUGCGUCUGAUACUGGGUGGCUUGAGUUUGGGAGAGGGAUGCGGAAUUCCAGGUGUAGCGGUGAAAUGCGUAGAUAUCUGGAGGAACACCGGUGGCGAAGGCGGCAUCCUGGACCAAUACUGACACUGAGGAGCGAAAGCCAGGGGAGCAAACGGG
rnacentral:rRNA from 1 species